GACGAACGCUGGCGGCGUGCUUAACACAUGCAAGUCGAACGGAGUGGCGAACGGGUGAGUAACACGUGGGUGACCUGCCCUGCAAUUCGGGGGAAGCCUGGGUAACUAGGUCUAAUACCGGAUAGUGUGGGAUGGGCCCGCGGCCUAUCAGCUUGUUGGUGGGGUAAUGGCCUACCAAGGCGGCGACGGGUAGCCGGCCUGAGAGGGUGGACAGCCACAGUGUGACUGAGACACGGACCAGAAUGCGACUGGAGGCAGCAGUGGGGAACAGUGCACAAUGGGCGGAAGCAUGAUGCAGCGACGCCGGGUGGGGGAUGACGGCCUUGGGGUUGGAAACUCCUUUCACCAUCGACGCGGUAGAUGGAGAAGAAGCACCGGCUAACUACGUGCCAGCAGCCGCGGUAAUUC
rnacentral:rRNA from 1 species